rnacentral:rRNA from 1 species
GACGAACGCUGGCGGUGUGAUUAACACAUGCAAGUCAAGCGGAGCGGCGAACGGGUGAUUAACGCGUGUGUAACUGCCCCCCUCUCUGGGAAAACAGCUGGAAACGGGUGCUAAUACCGGACAGUGGGGGAUGACUCGCGUCCUAUCAGUGUGUUGGUGGGGUAGUGGCCUACCAAGGCGAUGAUGGGUAGCCGGUCUGUGAGGGGGACCGGCCACAUUGGGCGUAGGUACGGCCCAAACUACUACGGGAGGCAGCGGUGGCGAAUAUCGCCCAAUGGGGGAACCCCUGAUGCAGCAACGCCGCGUGCGGGAUGACGGCCUUCGGGUUGUAAACCGCUUUCAGCCAUGACGCGGUAGUGGCAGAAGAAGCACCGGCUAACUACGUGCCAGCAGCCGCGGUAAUAC